ensembl:lncRNA
CCUGUUAGUGCUCUGUUUGGGAUGUUGAGAAGGGAAGAAGAGGAGACAACAUGGUUUUCUGAUGUUCCAUUGACUGGAAGUUCUCGGAGAGAGUUUUUCAGGUUUACCAUCUUGCAGUCCCCAAGCUGGACACCAGACACACUAAAACAAAUGUGCCUACACCCCUGUCACAGGUUCACAGCUGCCUGCUCACAUUCCUCAGCAGGCAGGAGUGACUGACGAGCUGCCUGGAACGGCAGCUGAGGCACCCAGAGACCCGGUGUCUGUGAACAGGAUCCAGCGCUUCCUUUCCCAAACCGCACCAGCGCCUGCCUGGGCUGAGCAGCAAGAGAGACAUCUGUGAUAUCUGAUGACAAUCAUCUCUGAUUAGACUGUCACUGCAUAGCACAGGUCAAGGAAAUAUUUGAACCUCAAGCCUUAAAGAUUUUUGUCGGCAGUUUUUCCCAUGAGCUGCAUUUCUCAAAAUAAUACCAUUCCAUCGUAUGUUGAAAGUGUAAAGAAAAAUUCAAGAGCAUCGCUAGUCUCUGGUUUGUUUCAGAGGAGUGUUUUUCUCACUUAUUUCAAGGAUUUAGGUGGCUGAACUUUUUUUCUGUGAGCCAUUGUCUUAUUAUUUGUAAACGAUCACUUUUGGCAUUCAAAUAUAAUCACAUAUUUCAAGGUACGUAUCUUCGUAGAAAUUGGUUCCACAAAAAGUUUGACUCAAAAGUGUGCACUGACUACUUACUAUAUGCGGAGCUUUGCGUUAGGUACAGGAAGAAAGAAACGGCCAGGCAAAGAAUGCAAGACAGGCGAAACUGACUCAUCUCUCUCUCACUGACUCAUCUCUCUCUCACUGACUUCCAAACUUUGUUGGACAUCUUACAUGGAUUAUGCUAUUCAAUUGCCUUUUAUAUUGAUAAAUGUUGCUAAAUAAGCAAAUCUUUUUAUAAGAAUGGCAAAAAUUUGCCCUAUCAAACCCAUAUACCAUUUUUGUUUCCUUAAUCGUCCCCAAAGAUAAAUUUGCUACUCAGAUAUAAACCGUGACACGCUUCCUACUCGGUAAAGAGGACGACCUAAGCCUUGCAAAGAGAAAAUCUCACUGAUAAAGAAACCGUAAAUGUACAAAAAUGAAUUAUCAUAUUUUUAAGAACUUCUACCUGGAUUUCUCUUUUUAAUGAAAGACAAACGUUUCUUUCUCCUUUAGUUUCUUGCAUUUACAUUCUCAAUAACAGCCAAAAAUUACAACCAUUUAUAAAUGGCAACAUUUUAUCUCUGAUUUCCUUAGAGAACCAGAGGGGGUAGACUUGGUUAUUUGGCUUGGCAAGAUGAUAUAAUUUUUAAGGGCACGGAAGAUACAGAUCCUUUAAAAAAAAGUUUUGUUGUAAUAUACAAAAGAACAUCUGUAACAUAAAUUUGAGUUAUAAAUCAUAAUAUUAAAAUGAACACCUAUGAAUUCAAAAACUAUAUCACCACCAAAACCUUUGACACCUCCCAUGUGUCACUAUCCCAUCUCCUGAGGUAACUUAUAUCCUGAACUUUGUAUUUAUACCAUUUCCUAGAUUUUUAAAAGUCUAAUUUUGUUAUAUAUGUAUAUACCACUACAAUUGUUUAGUUUUGCUUUAUUAUAAAAUAUCGCAUCAUAUAUCACCUUUUGAAACUUUCUUUUCUCAGUCAACAUUUUAUCUCAAAGAUUCAUUCAUAAUGUCAUUCAUAUCCCUCUACUACACAACUCUCCAUCGUGUGAAUAUAACACAAUUAUUUAUCCACUCCCCUGGCAAUAGGAUCUGAGUGGUUUCAAGUGUUUCUGUUUGUUUGUUUGCUAUUAUUACAGAUAAUGCUGUUAUGAACAGUCUUGCCUUGUCUCCUGGUACAUAUAUGCAAAAAUUUCUCAAAACUGAUUUUUUUUUCCUCCUAAAAAUCCCAAGAAUGGCAGUGGGGGAAUGUACUGCUUCUCUUCCUGCUAGAAAAGCCCUAUUAAGUUCCACUAAUUAAAUUAAUUUGAAGUUAAAAAAUAGAUCUUAAGUCAUAGUUUUUAUGGAAGUAGGACAAUGGGAUGAUGACUCAACAAGAGGAAGAUUUUGCAUGGAUUGAAUCAUGGGAGAAUGCGAGAACAAACCAAGAUAGACAUGUCAGAGGUUUCAGAAGUAAGGACCCCAAACCUGCUAAAGGCAGCCAUGCUGAUAGUGGUUUAGCUCCAUUUGCUAAAAGUGGUCGAGUUAAUAGGAAGAGAGCACGAAAGGAAAUGAAGUCAUUCCAAGCCAAAUGAAUGUGGGAACUUCACUUAGGGUUACCUUCCUUUUUUUCCAAGAGAGCAUCAUAAACAAAACAAAAGGAAAAGAAACCCCACAUGGUUUCUAUCUCUGGAAUAGUAAACAAAAAUGCAUGUUUGGCAAAAUAUCUCAGAAUUUUUUAAACUAUUAUCUCCCUAUAGUUUCGCUAACAUGUUAACCUACUUAGAGCAAUUAGUGCUUCAUUAGGAAGGCUAACUAACUGUUGCCGGGCCCUGUAAUGAUUUGCCAGGCUUUCCAGAUACAAGUGCAUAAUCAAUGUUUUCCAAUUACUUCUAUAGUGCAACCACUAUUUCAAAUAAACUAGAUAAUAAUACAAACCCAUUACUGGAGCCGAAGUAGCAGAGGCAUUUAAUUGCAAGGCAGUUCUUCUCAGCUUUUAAAAUUUUUCACACUAAUGAAGUGUCAUACAAAAAAGUUGUAUUGAUUUUUCCACCACAUGGCUUCAACCACAAAUAUGUAAUUAUCCCUUUUAUAUCUAGCUGGGGGAUUAAAAUAAUCUAUAGUAUAUAGCCUUUACUUAUCCCUGAUGGGUUUGGUAGUACUUUUACCCUUUUCAAAAUAUGCAGCCCUUUGAUGAAUGAACUUUAGGCAAAAUGUUGCUUUAUCUGUUCCAAAUCUUUGCUUUUUAAAGUCAGUUUGUGUGCAGGCAUUAAAAUCUGAAAUCUCAAGCUUCCAAAACCUCCUAAAGAACACAUUCUGAUAGAAUGUAAUUUAAAGCAUCAUAGAUAUUUUUCUCCACUAAAGAAAUCAACUUGGGCAUAUAGUAUUGCACAUUCUGUGAUACCCACAUUUGCAUUUCACUAUAGAUACAUUUUUAUUUAUAGCUAACAUUUUAUUAACUAUGUUAUAUUUUUACACAAAUAAAGUGGACUUGGCAUUAACUGGAGCCAAUUUUUCCCUGGUCUUCAGAAAAAAAAUGUAGGAAUAAUCCAUCGGCAUUAAAUUUCUUAUUUUCUCAUCACAGUUUGGUCAAUAAAGGAGGAAAAAAGUACUUUCUUUAUAAAAAGAGAAAGUCAUUAUAAGUAUAAAAUGAAUUUUACAGAGAUCGAGAAUUAAUGCUGGGAGCAUAGGGCUUUUUAAAAAUUAGCCUGUCCUUCCUGAUCUUUUUACACAUAAAUUGGUCUCUUUCAACAUUUUUGCUGAGAAUUCUUUUGGUUACACUUUAACAUUAUUUCAAUUAUGGUCAGUGUAAAAAUAGAUUCCAAAGGUAAAAAACACAGCUUAAAUGUCUACAAGACCUUGUUCUUAACAUUCAUAUGUCAAAAACUGUCUCUCUCUAUAGUUGCAGUAACAUGUUAACACGCUUACCACCCUGAGCUUUCCCAGAUGCAAGGAUUUUCGUGAUUUCCUGCCUCUCUGUGUUUUGUGGUUUAAGGAAACGUUCAGAGUCAAAUUAAUACACUAUAUUUCAGAGUCUGAAAAUUCUGUCAAGGUGACUGAGAAUAUUAAAAAAAUGUUAUGUUAACAUUGGAAAAUCCUGAAGCAAAAAUUUAGUGGUGUAGAGAUGUAAACAAUUUUUGUGUGACAUUUAGGUAUUUAAUGGUAACUUUAAAAAUUUUCCAAGCAGAGCAUUUAUGGACAAAGAACUAACUAAAAAGAAUUGCUUUAUGCUGAGAAGAGCAGCCUAAAAAUAAAAAUACCCAAAGUUA